UAUUUUACAUGGUACCACAUGACCGUAAUAGUAUAGUGUAUAAAGUGUAUUAAAAAUAAAUAGAAUUUUAAGUAAUUUGAGACAAUUCUUAAUUAUGCGGGUAAUUUAUUAAUUACCGAGUAGCGGAAUACUGCCUAAUUGAUUAAUUAGUGUAAUUGGGUAAGGUUGGAUAGUCUCAAACGUGGCAGCUAGCCACAAUCUAAAACUAUGACUCAUGGACACGUUUGAUAAGGUGGCAAUAAUAUUUCUCACUUUCCGGCAUAUUGAUUCCACUAAGUAAUCCAUCUUAAGUAACGGAUGGUGUCUCGGUCUGGGAGUGGUCUGGUUCUGCCUUGGACGAGGGAGCUGAGGCAGCAAUAUAGUUUUUCCACGCAUCUUGGAAAACCAUGUCGGCUGGUUCACUUUAGUGAAGCUUUCCCUGUUAUCAAGUAAAGAUAAAAUAUUAAUAUUGGGAUGGAGUACUUUUCUGCUGGAAGUAUUUAAGUGUGUUCCAAUAAAUCAAAGAAUCAAGAAGGCUCUUCAUGAUCGAAUAAGCUUCUUUGUAUGAACUAGAUUUGUGUUUCAUUGGAUGGCUCUUUUGGUCCGCUUAAGUUGUGUUAUCUGAAUGCCACUCACUGAAUCUGAAAAAUAUCAUUGCGCAAGUGUUUGAGAAAAAAAAGCUUAGAUGUUUUUCAAGAGGAGGUUGUUGAUACGAGUACUGAAGCUUACAAGUAUAUUAAGGUUAUCCCUUCUUUCUUUUGGAAAGAUUUAUAUGACACAAACGAAACUAGAAAAUGCACAACUUUUAUAAAUGACUCUAUUGAUAGAAGUAUUACAGGUGCCUAUGUUUUUGAAUUUUUAUGUGUCGUAUUAUUUGAUCAUAUGUUCAUGGGCCUAAAAAAAAUACGCAAGUUGAAAAUUUUUACUUCAUGAUAUUAAUCAAAGGCAUAAUGGUCUUAUGACAUUCCAAAAGUUUUUUUAAUGUACUUCUCAUGCAUUGCAUUCAUUUACAUGUUCAUUUACUCAUGACUCAGAUGGCGUUAUUUACGCGUAUAUAUGUAUAUAUAUGUAUAUGGGAUAUGAGAAAAGAUUACGACGUUAUGUACGUAUCACCACCUGAUCAGCUGGUAUAUGUUGAUGAUUUGCCCACCGUGGCCGAGAUGAUAUGAUGGGAUGCCUCAGAGGCUUGAUGAUGUUAUGAACAUAUGUAUCUAUGCACGACAUGACAUACAUACGCAUAUGCAUGACACUAUGAGUAUUUCAUUAUUUACAGUGUUAUUCCAGUUCUAAAAAAUGAAGUUUGUUCUCAGGCAGGUUCUUUUAUUUUUAUAGUUUGCCAGUUGAUGUGAUUUCAAAUAUAUGAAUUUCCUUGUUGCAAGAUAACAGAAAAUACAUGGCUGAUAAAGAGAAGAAAUUUACAUGUGCAUUAUCGUAUUGGUAAAUUUUCUAAAGAAAAGGGAAAUGGUAAUUUUUGAAUAGUACGUAUAAGAGAUAUAACUCCCAAAAGUGCAAGUGUUGAUUUUAAAAUUCCAGUCUUUCUUUUGUGGGAUAAGGCCUUUAAUAAAUCACUAUGAUAACAUUGCAGAUCGAAUUGAUAAUUUAGGUCUUACAUGUUAGCCAAAAUUAUUUGAAGCUUUAUUCUGUUGUCAAUAUUUUCAUUUCUAAUAUUGUAGAUUAUUUGUAUAUGCCUGAAUUUUCGUCACAAUAUGUCUUUAAUUAAUAUUGACUUAAGAUUAUGUUUCAGUUCUUUCUUACAUACUUGGUAAAUUAUUCGUACUGACGUCCUUAUGUUGGGGACGCUGCAUUCAUGCCUACAGGUAUAUAUAAUCAGUUUGACGAGUCCUCAUAGAAGACAAAAUUGGUAUUCAGGGAAGGAUCGGUAAGACUCCACCUCAUUCGGAGUGCAAUCGAGUCUGUGAGUCAUCGUGUCAGAAUUUUGCUACAGACUUAUGGGUAGGCCGGAACCCUGUCCCAUUCGAUGUCAAACAAUCUUAGAGGCUUUCUAGACAUAGGUCCAUUUUGUACAGUAUGUGAGAGGCCUUGAUGGCCCAUAUGUAUUCAUAUUUUAUGAACGAUGGUUCAUUGAUAUAAUAUUUUCCUAC
rnacentral:lncRNA from 1 species